rnacentral:lncRNA from 1 species
CCAAAUAAUUUUUAUUAAUUCAUAAUUUAUAUAAUAAUUAUAAAGAGUACAAUCAUCCAAAUGAUUGAUUUUAGGAUAUAUUUUCUAACACACACUACAUAUAUAGACUGAUAGGAACAUCUCAGAUUAUCUCAAGUAGCAGUACAUUCAAAAUUUAUAUUGAAUUGAGAUGAUGUCAAGCAUAUCGAGGAUAUCAGUGUCAGCACUCAUGCUACAGUAGAUGAUGAUGAUGAGACUCCUUCAGCAAAACUCAUUAUAGUAGAUAUCAGGAUUAAGGAGCC